rnacentral:rRNA from 1 species
GAUGAACGCUGGCGGCGUGCCUAAUACAUGCAAGUCGAGCGAACGGACGAGAAGCUUGCUUCUCUGAUGUUAGCGGCGGACGGGUGAGUAACACGUGGAUAACCUACCUAUAAGACUGGGAUAACUUCGGGAAACCGGAGCUAAUACCGGAUAAUAUUUUGAACCGCAUGGUUCAAAAGUGAAAGACGGUCUUGCUGUCACUUAUAGAUGGAUCCGCGCUGCAUUAGCUAGUUGGUAAGGUAACGGCUUACCAAGGCAACGAAGCAUAGCCGACCUGAGAGGGUGAUCGGCCACACUGGAAGUGAGACAGGGUCCAGACUCCGACGGGAGGCAGCAGUAGGGAAUCUUCCGCAAUGGGCGAAAGCCUGACGGAGCAACGCCGCGUGAGUGAUGAAGGUCUUCGGAUCGUAAAACGCUGUUAUUAGGGAAGAACAUAUGUGUAAGUAACUGUGCACAUCUUGACGGUACCUAAUCAGAAAGCCACGGCUAACUACGUG